AUGCAUACUGAAAAGUCAGGCGGACACACACACCCCGGGACGCGGUCGGAGCCCGAGCUGGCCCUUCUCCCCGCUGGACGCGCGGCCUGGGAGCCCUGGCGCAGCCGCUGGCUGGACGAACCCCGGGGGAGCCCCGGCGCACCCGAGCCGGCUCCCGACGCCCGGGGCGGGGUGGGGUGCCCGGGCGCGGCGAGGUCUCCUUGUCUGACGUUAUCGGAGCCGGCCACAAGGGCCACAUGCGAAGAAGCAAACAUCCGGCGCGGCUUCCUGCGAGCGCGGCUUUCCCAGCGCGAGGGGCGCGGGGCUCCGGGCUGCAGGCCGGCGCGGACGGCUGCGCCAGGAGAGGGUCGCGGGCGACGAACCCCGUGUACUGGAUUACCGCAGAUUACCAUGGAUUCAUCAUAGUGAAUGCCAGGGACAGAGGCAGAGGCUCCUAACUGACACCAUCACCGUGCAAUAAAAUUUAGGAAGCUCAGGUAAAUGUCCUUUCUUCCCAAUCCCUUCAGUAGUGCAUCAGCUUGCAUCUCUGAGGACAAUGCUAAAACUAAGAUAAAAAUAAAAGUAGUUCACAUCUAAUAGGAUAUUAUCCCUGCGUAUGCAUCACAUCCAGCACGCUCCUGGCUUUUCUAGUGAAAUUCUAAGAAGGCUUCAGUAUAAUAUUUGAAGUUCUGUCUUUGUGUAUGAGAAACCUAAAGCCCAGAAAUGAUAACAAGGCCUAUCUGUUCUAGCUACUUAGGGACUGAAUUGAAGGUUGAAAACUCUUUCAUUGUUGUUUAUUUCUGUUGUUCUUUUGAGACAGGGUCUCAUUGUGCGGUCCAGGACAGCCUUGAACUCACGAUGCAGCCCAGCCUGGCAAUGAACUUGCAAGCCUCCUGCCUCGGUCUCCCGAAGGCUAGGAUUAUAGGCGCGGACCACCACUUUUUCUAGUGCUAUGCUUUAAAAAAAAAAUACAGUACUCCUGAAUUUGCUGUGGAGUGUCAGUCAGUGGGUACCUGGGCUGCUUACACCUUUGGCUAUUGUGAAUUAGGCUGCUAUGAAUACGGGCAUACAAACAUCUGUUUGAAUUCAUACUUCCACUAUUUGUAGUAUUCUCAAAAGUGCUGUUGCUCUUGAUUCUGUGUUUAGUUUUUGGAGGACUCACUAUACCAUUUUCCACAGUGGCUGCACCAUUGUACGUGUCCCCCAGGCAUACACAAGGGCUUCGAUUUCUCCACACCCUCCACCAAACUUGAUAUUUUCUCACUUUUUUUUGUUUUUACUUUUUAAUUAUAGCCAUCCUAAUAGAUAUAGUUUUUUUCCAGUACCGGGAAUCAAACUCAUGACCUUGCGCUUGCCAGGCAGGAGCUGUGCCGCUGAGCUAAAUCCCCAGCCCCACAUCCUAAUAGAUAUGAAUUGGUAUUUUAUUGCGAGUUCGAUUUAUAUUUUCCUAAUUAUAAGUGAUGUGUUUUAUAUAUGUGUGUGUAUGUUUAUAUAUAUAUAUAUAUAUAUAUAUAUAUAUAUAUAUAUACACACAGACACUUGGGAUUGAACCCAAGGCCUCCUAAUGCCAAACAUGAACUGUGUCACUGAGCUGUACUGCCUUCUCUUAAGCAUUUUAUCCUUGCAUAUUGACCCUUUUCAUAUCUUUUUUGAAGAAAUGUUCAUUCUUGUCAUUUGCCCAUUUUUCAACAAGUUGCUUAAAUUUUUUGUUGCAGUUGAGCUGCCUUUUGCUUGUUUAGUUAGAAGAGUUCUUCACAUACUCUAGAUGUAAGUUCCCUACAAGAUUUUUGAUUCACAAAAGAAUUUCUCCCAUUCUGUGGCUUCUUACUCUCGUCAGUAUUCCCUCUGUGGUACAAAAGUUUUAAUUUUUUUUGCUUUUAAAAGUUUAAAAUUUUAAUGAAGUCCAAUUUAUUCAUGGCUUCAUUACUUGCUUAUACAUUUCAUACUAUAUGCAAAAACUAUUGCCUUAUCCAAGGUCAUGAAGAUUUAUGAUUGUUUUUCUAAGGGUUUUAUAAGUUUUAGCUCUUGCAUAGGAAAAGAAGUUUAUCAUUAUUUGCAGAUGACAUGAUACUCUACACAGAAGAUCUCAAAAACUCCACCAAAAGACUUCUAUAUUUAAUAAACAAAUUAAAUUGCAUACCUGGAUACAAAGUCAGCAUUCAAAAAUCGAUAGCAUUCCUGUACACAAAUAACAAACUCACUCAGAGAUAAAUUAGGGAAACAGCAUCUUUCACAAUAAUGUCCAAAAAGAUGAACUACCUACAAAUCAAUCUAAGAAAGGAGGUAAAAGACCUCUAUACUGAAAAGUGCAGUACUCUGAUAAAGGAGAUUGAAGAGGAUAUCAGAAAAUGGAAAAAUAUCCCUUUCUUUUGGGUAGGAAGAACCUCCAAAAUUGUUAUACAGGUUUAAUGCAAUCACAAUCAAAAUACCAUUUUCAUAACUCACAGAACCAAGAAAAUAAUUCCUAAAUUAUUUGGAAUGAGAAGAGGUUUAGAAUAGCAAAAGCAAUUCUGGGCGACAAAGGCAAGGCAGGGGGCAUCACAAUCCCUGACUUGAUAUUAUACUACAGAGUUACUGUGAUAAAACAGCAUGGUAUUGGGGGGAAAAAAAAAACCCACAGGUUUGAGGAUCAGUGGAACAAAAUAGAAGACGCAGAAACAACUCCAGACACACUCAGCCACCUUAUGUUUGACAAAGGGGCCAAACAUUCACUGGAAGAAAGAUAGCCUCUUUAGUAAAUGGUGCUGGAAAAACUGGCUCUGCACAUGCUAAGGACUAAAACUAGACUCAUGUUUUUCACAAUACACUAAACUAAAAUCAAAAUGUAUAAAAGAUCUAAGUAUUUAAACAGAAACACUGGGGCUGGGGAUUUAGCUCAGCGGCAAAGCG
ensembl:lincRNA